rnacentral:rRNA from 1 species
UACGUAGGGUGCAAGCGUUGUCCGGAAUUAUUGGGCGUAAAGAGCUCGUAGGCGGUUUGUCGCGUCUGCUGUGAAAACCCCGAGGCUCAACCUCGGGCCUGCAGUGGGUACGGGCAGACUAGAGUGCGGUAGGGGGAGAUUGGAAUUCCUGGUGUAGCGGUGGAAUGCGCAGAUAUCAGGAGGAACACCGGUGGCGAAGGCGGGUCUCUGGGCAGUAACUGACGCUGAGGAGCGAAAGCUAGGGGAGCAAACGGG